GCGUGUAGGACGACUGCCUUAUGGGUUGUAAACUACCUUUAUCUGGGGAUAAACCUACUCACGUGUGAGUAGCUGAAGGUACCAGAAGAAUAAGCACCGGCUAACUCCGUGCCAGCAGCCGCGGUAAUACGGAGGGUGCGAGCGUUAUCCGGAUUUAUUGGGUUUAAAGGGUCCGUAGGCGGAUUAAUCAGUCAGUGGUGAAAUCCCGCAGCUUAACUGUGGAACUGCCAUUGAUACUGUUAGUCUUGAGUGAUGUUGAAGUGGCUGGAAUGUGUAGUGUAGCGGUGAAAUGCUUAGAUAUUACGCAAAACACCAAUUGCGAAGGCAGGUCACUAAGUAUCAACUGACGCUGAUGGACGAAAGCGUGGGGAGCGAACAGGAUUAGAUACCCUGGUAGUCCACGCCGUAAACGAUGGAUACUUGCUGUUGGGGUUUCGGCUUCAGUGGCUAAGCGAAAGUUAUAAGUAUCCCACCUGGGGAGUACGUUCG
rnacentral:rRNA from 1 species